ACUCCUACGGGAGGCAGCAGUGAGGAAUAUUGCACAAUGGGGGAAACCCUGAUGCAGCCAUGCCGCGUGUGUGAAGAAGGCCUUCGGGUUGUAAAGCACUUUCAGUAGGGAGGAAGGUAGUGUAGUUAACACCUGCAUUAUUUGACGUUACCUACAGAAGAAGCACCGGCUAACUCCGUGCCAGCAGCCGCGGUAAUACGGAGGGUGCGAGCGUUAAUCGGAAUUACUGGGCGUAAAGCGCAUGCAGGCGGCCUGUUAAGUCAGAUGUGAAAGCCCGGGGCUUAACCUCGGAAUUGCAUUUGAAACUGGCAGGCUAGAGUCUUGUAGAGGGGGGUAGAAUUUCAGGUGUAGCGGUGAAAUGCGUAGAGAUCUGAAGGAAUACCAGUGGCGAAGGCGGCCCCCUGGACAAAGACUGACGCUCAGAUGCGAAAGCGUGGGGAGCAAACAGGAUUAGAUACCCUGGUAGCACAGAG
rnacentral:rRNA from 1 species